CCUUUUGUAUAAUGGGUCAGCGACUUAUAUUCUGUAGCAAGGUUAACCGAAUAGGGGAGCCGAAGGGAAACCGAGUCUUAACUGGGCGUUAAGUUGCAGGGUAUAGACCCGAAACCCGGUGAUCUAGCCAUGGGCAGGUUGAAGGUUGGGUAACACUAACUGGAGGACCGAACCGACUAAUGUUGAAAAAUUAGCGGAUGACUUGUGGCUGGGGGUGAAAGGCCAAUCAAACCGGGAGAUAGCUGGUUCUCCCCGAAAGCUAUUUAGGUAGCGCCUCGUGAAUUCAUCUCCGGGGGUAGAGCACUGUUUCGGCAAGGGGGUCAUCCCGACUUACCAACCCGAUGCAAACUGCGAAUACCGGAGAAUGUUAUCACGGGAGACACACGGCGGGUGCUAACGUCCGUCGUGAAGAGGGAAACAACCCAGACCGCCAGCUAAGGUCCCAAAGUCAUGGUUAAGUGGGAAACGAUGUGGGAAGGCCCAGACAGCCAGGAUGUUGGCUUAGAAGCAGCCAUCAUUUAAAGAAAGCGUAAUAGCUCACUGGUCGAGUCGGCCUGCGCGGAAGAUGUAACGGGGCUAAACCAUGCACCGAAGCUGCGGCAGCGACGCUGAUGCGUUGUUGGGUAGGGGAGCGUUCUGUAAGCCUGCGAAGGUGUGCUGUGAGGCAUGCUGGAGGUAUCAGAAGUGCGAAUGCUGACAUAAGUAACGAUAAAGCGGGUGAAAAGCCCGCUCGCCGGAAGACCAAGGGUUCCUGUCCAACGUUAAUCGGGGCAGGGUGAGUCGACCCCUAAGGCGAGGCCGAAAGGCGUAGUCGAUGGGAAACAGGUUAAUAUUCCUGUACUUGGUGUUACUGCGAAGGGGGGACGGAGAAGGCUAUGUUGGCCGGGCGACGGUUGUCCCGGUUUAAGCGUGUAGGCUGGUUUUCCAGGCAAAUCCGGAAAAUCAAGGCUGAGGCGUGAUGACGAGGCACU
rnacentral:rRNA from 1 species